rnacentral:rRNA from 1 species
CCCCAGACUCCUACGGGAGGCAGCAGUGGGGAAUAUUGCACAAUGGGGGAAACCCUGAUGCAGCGACGCCGCGUGAGUGAAGAAGUAUUUCGGUAUGUAAAGCUCUAUCAGCAGGGAAGAAAAUGACGGUACCUGAUUAAGAAGCCCCGGCUAACUACGUGCCAGCAGCCGCGGUAAUACGUAGGGGGCGAGCGUUAUCCGGAAUUACUGGGUGUAAAGGGAGCGUAGACGGCGAGGUAAGCCUGAAGUGGAAGCCCGCGGCCCAACCGCGGAACUGCUUUGGGAACUGUUUUGCUGGAGUAUGGGAGGGGUAAGCGGAAUUCCUGGUGUAGCGGUGAAAUGCGUAGAUAUCAGGAGGAACACCGGUGGCGAAGGCGGCUUACUGGACCAUAACUGACGUUGAGGCUCGAAAGCGUGGGGAGCAAACAGGAUUAGAUACCCCUGUAAC